rnacentral:misc_RNA from 1 species
GUAGGUGAACCUGCGGAAGGAUCAUUAACAAAAAACUGGGGUCCGAGGGUUUCCUCGAACUUCCCAGAUUUUUUUCCAACUCCAAACUGAAUUCCGUGAACGCAUGGUGGGGGGAGGGACGGGGGGAGGUCACUGCUGCUGCUUCAUUGCAGCGCGCGCGGGGGCUUCCCUCCUCUCUUUCAGCUGCCAUUUUUUUUCAAACCACAAAAACCUUUUUGAAAAACUAACAUACCAUUUUUUGUGCGUGCGC